UACGUAGGGUGCGAGCGUUAAUCGGAAUUACUGGGCGUAAAGCGUGCGCAGGCGGUUCGUUAAGUUCGAUGUGAAAGCCCCGGGCUCAACCUGGGAAUGGCAUUGGAAACUGGCGGACUCGAGUGUGGCAGAGGGGGGUGGAAUUCCGCGUGUAGCAGUGAAAUGCGUAGAGAUGCGGAGGAACACCGAUGGCGAAGGCAGCCCCCUGGGCUUACACUGACGCUCAGGCACGAAAGCGUGGGGAGCAAACAGG
rnacentral:rRNA from 1 species